rnacentral:rRNA from 1 species
AGUGAACGCUGGCGGUAGGCCUAACACAUGCAAGUCGAACGGCAGCACAGGAGAGCUUGCUCUCUGGGUGGCGAGUGGCGGACGGGUGAGGAACACAUCGGAAUCUACCUUUUCGUGGGGGAUAACGUAGGGAAACUUACGCUAAUACCGCAUACGACCUACGGGUGAAAGUGGGGGACCGCAAGGCCUCACGCGAUUAGAUGAGCCGAUGUCCGAUUAGCUAGUUGGCGGGGUAAUGGCCCACCAAGGCGACGAUCGGUAGCUGGUCUGAGAGGAUGAUCAGCCACACUGGAACUGAGACACGGUCCAGACUCCUACGGGAGGCAGCAGUGGGGAAUAUUGGACAAUGGGCGCAAGCCUGAUCCAGCCAUACCGCGUGGGUGAAGAAGACCUUCGGGUUGUAAAGCCCUUUUGUUGGGAAAGAAAUCCUGUCGAUUAAUACUCGGUGGGGAUGACGGUACCCAAAGAAUAAGCACCGGCUAACUUCGUGCCAGCCGCCGCAGUAAAAC